UACGAAGGGUGCAAGCGUUACUCGGAAUUACUGGGCGUAAAGCGUGCGUAGGUGGUGAGUUAAGUCUGUCGUGAAAGCCCCGGGCUCAACCUGGGAAUGGCGAUGGAUACUGGCUCGCUAGAGUGCGGUAGAGGAGAGUGGAAUUCCUGGUGUAGCGGUGAAAUGCGCAGAUAUCAGGAGGAACACCGAUGGCGAAGGCAGGUCUCUGGGCCACUACUGACGCUGGAGAAAGCGAAAGCAUGGGGAGCGAACAGG
rnacentral:rRNA from 1 species